AUGGCUAUAUCUGGUUGUAACACCGGUUUCCGUACGAUCACCGAGGUUAAGCAACGUCGAUCCUGGUUAGUACCUAGAUGGGGAACCGCUUGGAAAUAUCAAGUGCUGUAAG